rnacentral:rRNA from 1 species
CCUACGGGAGGCAGCAGUGGGGAAUAUUGGACAAUGGGCGAAAGCCUGAUCCAGCAAUGCCGCGUGAGUGAUGAAGGCCUUCGGGUCGUAAAGCUCUUUUACCAGGGAUGAUAAUGACAGUACCUGGAGAAUAAGCUCCGGCUAACUCCGUGCCAGCAGCCGCGGUAAUACGGAGGGAGCUAGCGUUGUUCGGAAUUACUGGGCGUAAAGAGUACGUAGGCGGUUAUUCAAGUCAGAGGUGAAAGCCCGGGGCUCAACCCCGGAACUGCCUUUGAAACUAGAUAACUAGAGUCUUGGAGAGGUUAGUGGAAUUCCGAGUGUAGAGGUGAAAUUCGUAGAUAUUCGGAAGAACACCAGUGGCGAAGGCGACUAACUGGACAAGUACUGACGCUGAGGUACGAAAGCGUGGGGAGCAAACAGGAUUAGAUACCCUGGUAGUCCACGCCGUAAACGAUGAUAACUAGUUGUUCGGUCACUUGGUGACUGAGUGACGCAGCUAACGCAUUAAGUUAUCCGCCUGGGGAGUACGGUCGCAAGNUUAAAACUCAAAGAUAUGCGNGNGAGNGCGACGACGACGACGAGAGGAG